GCUGGGCAUGGUGUGGCAGGCCUGUAAUCCCAGGGACUCAGGAGGCUGAGGCAGGACGAUUGCAAUUUUAAGGGCCAGCCUCAG
rnacentral:sRNA from 1 species